rnacentral:lncRNA from 1 species
UUUUUUUUUUUUUUGCGUACAUUAUAGAAAAUAGCAUCAAAUUUUUUCUUUUCAUUAUAUGCAUAUUCAAUGGUCAUAUUUUUAGAUAUGAAAUUGUUGUCUUUUGUGUAAUUUUUUUGGUUGUUUGAAUUAGUCAUUAAAAGAAAUUUUUUUAAAAAAAUAUAUUUUUCAAUUACAUUUUUAUCUCUUUAAUCAUAUUCUUAUUUCAUUUCACAUACGUCACGUUACAAAAAGUCCUAUAUUGUUAUUUUAAAAACUUUUUACCAAACAUUACACCCCCCAUCCAGUUUUCUUAUAUUUUUAGUUUUUUAUUAUAGACUGUGGGGCCAAAGGCUCCCCUGCGGGCCCUACCUGCCUAUAUAUAUAUAAACACCAACUUAUGAUCUUACUCUCUUGAAUUCAAUACUAAUAAUCGAUUACAAGCAUUCAUUUGUUAGAAGAUGGGAAACUGUAUUAUCAAAGAAUCAUCCACACAAUGGGGAGGGGAUGAUUGGGGCUCUCCCUCGCCGGUGCCAUCAGAGGCCAAGAAAACCGUGUUUUCUUCUAGUGGGGUUGGCCAAGACAAUAAGUUGUAUGCGAAGCCAAUGAAAACAGAGGAGGAGAGUUUUCCUGGAGGAAAGAAGGGGGCUAAAUCUCUUCCUUCUUCUACCACGGCAGGGGCAGAGGUGAAGAUCAAGAUCACGAAGAAGCAAUUGGAGGAACUUCUGAGUAAGGUGGAUGUACAAGGGAAACCGGUGAAAGAGGUUUUAGCACUGUUGCUCAACCUUGGUGACGGAAAUGAGACACAUCCAAGGUCCUGGAGGCCUGCCCUGCAAAGCAUACCAGAGGCUGAGAUGUAAGGGCAGGUGUAAAUUAGGUCCUGUAAAGUUUGUUAAUUGUAUUCGUAUAUUUGUUAUGUCCUGUAAAGUUUUUUAUUAGGUUCUGAAUUCAGAUAUAGAACAAGGACCUCUCAGCCUCCAUUUAUCUCCAUCUUGUCACCACUUCCUUGAUCCCAAUGGAAAUGGGGUGGAAAUGGUUCUUGGAAAUUUUGGCCUGUGUGAAUAGGAAAGUAGUUGAACAUGUUUCUUUUUCCUUUGAUUAUUUUCCUUGUAAAUCUUUAAUUGAGAGUUAGUUACAUGAAUCAAAGACUAUAAGCAGCUAACCUACUCUUUCGUCCUUUUUCCUUCCUUUUGGGAUUUUCUUUUUUUUUUUUUUUGGUGGGUUGGGUGUUGUGGGGGGGGGGGGGUGGGGGCGAGGAGGGUGGAGGUGUUAUACUACAGCUAUUUUAUCAACAGAUCCAGUUAAUGCAAGUGAGAGGAUGUUUUCGUUUUGUCCAUUUAGGUAGGGCGAGAGCUCGUGCCAAAAUGUUUGAGAGCCUUUUUAACACCAAUUUAUGAUGUUCAAGAUUCCAUUAGAAUACAUGAAGUCGUGAAGGGGAUGGAGUUAGAUGAAAUUAAGUUUGUGAACGUCAUUUGGAGCCUGGAAGCAGAUCCGCGUGACAAUCCGCACACGGAUCCACCUUGGAUCACUGUGGAGCAAAGUUUUCUUCUUGAUUUGUCUCUGCCUCGUAUCUGACUACCAAUCUAGUCAUCUACCUCGCAUAUUCCCGUCAAACUGAUCUUAGGGUUUUUAAUUUUGUUUGAUUUCUUUUGUUUUGCUUGAUUUUUUUGUUCUCCUCUUAUGGAGUUCCUUAACGAAACGUGAGUUUCUUCUUGAAUUGUAUCAAAUACUUGUGAUGUUCAAAGUAAAAUGAUCAUGUCAUCUUAUUCUUUCCAACUACUAACUAAUCCACUAAGUUUCUAGAGACGGGUUCUCUUUAAAUCUAGUAAGAUAUUUGUUGUUCAUAACUUUGUCAAGAUAGUUCCUUCCUACCUGAUCGACUUAGUUCUUCAAAACAGAUUCUUACUGGGUUGAGUUCACAUCAAUUUGGCUAAUCAAUCCAUUUAAUUUUAUUUUAAUACAUACUUAUUUGACUAAAUGAUAAUGCCUAAGUGAUCACCAAAAGGGAAUUAAGAUGAUACAUUUUUGUAGAAUUGCAUUUUAAACAUCCAUAAAAAUGUUAUCUUGUUUGCUUACAUAUUAGAUUAUAGUAAAAAAACAAUAGAAAGGAGAAUUCAAAAAGAAAAAGAACCAAAGAAAUUUGCAUAAUAUAUUUUAGCAAUAGGGGCAAAAUCAAUGAUAAUCAAGUUAAGGCGGUUUGUUUGGAUUGAGAAUUAUUUAUAAAAAAUUAUUUGUUUAUAUUAUCAACACAUUUUAUAUCACAUCAAAAAGUGCUACAGUAUUUUUUUAAAUUAUCCCAAAUAAUCUACUACCAAACACACACUCGCUGUAAUAUUGGCUUUAGCACACACACCACCUUUUUCUUAUUGACUUUAACAUUGCUUAUAAUCCAUGAUUUUGACUCAAUUACUAUUCGACCUAAUCUCAAACACAUUUUUAUUAAGUUGGAGGUCGAAUCAAGUUUUUUUUUUUUUUGUAUUCAAAGAAAACGUGAAAUCAAGCCCUAAUGGUUUAAUCUAUUUAUAUAUGAUGAUGAUCUCAUAAUAAACUGCAAGGAAUGAACGCCAAACUAUUAUAGUUGCAUUUUUGGACUUGAAGAAGCUAAAACAAAUUUGCAAAAUUCUCCCGUCACGAAACGACAGCGUAUAGCACAAUAAGAAAUCAGAUUACUUUGCAGAUGCCCUUUUUUGAAUGCAAUUUUAAUAAGAUUAGAAGGAAAGGAAGUGUUGGUAAAAGUUGAAAUCCGCAAAUUAAGCGCCAAAAAGUUCAUUUUUGUAUCUCAUUUUGGCGCAAAAACAAAUGCAAAUCCUUCGAAAAAAAUAAAAAUAAAAAACCUAAACAGUCGCAUUCGUCACCUCAAUCCACCGCGCAAUGGCGGAUUUUGAACCUCCAUCAUUCUCACUAGGGUUCGAUUUGGACCUGGACCCGGACCCGGAGCCCCAGACCGCUAGAAGACCCGAACCAUCAACCAGCUAUAAUAUCAAACCAGCUAAAAGAUCAUCUGCCGGAGCUACCAUCCGUUCAAACAACAACGACGACGAGGAGGAUGAUUUUGAAACGCCAACAAUGGGCUUUAAACCACAAGUAUCGGACACACCUCGGACCCUCAAACGGCUCCGGCGAGGGCCCACAUUAGCCACCCAGAAAGGGAAAUCCAAAGAGGAGUGGUUCAAUGUAGAUGAUGAGAUUGAAGAGUUCUCUUCCCAGGAAGAUCCGUCUCCAGGUGAAAAGAUUGGAUUUUUCACAAAUUUCAUUAUUUUUCUUUUUUUUUUCCCCUUUCUAGUUUUUGAGUUCUGGGAUCUUAGUAGCUUAUUUGAUUUCUCACACAGACAGAGAAACUAAAGGAUAAAGUUUUUUUUUUUUGGUCCCCAGCGUUUUGAGUUUGUGAGAACAGAAAGGGGUUCAUUUUUAGUAGCAAGCCCGGUUUGACAAGGAAGAAAGUUUUAGUUUUAAGGUUUUCAUAAAGAUAUUGCUUUAGAUUAUGAAUUUUCUACAGCUCUGGGAAUUGUUAUAGAACAUAGAUUAAGUCUUUCUUGUUAUAAGGAAUGUUAAAUAGGGUAAUGUGCAUGUCUAACAAAGUUGUCCGAUUUGUGAGAAUCUGAUCAAGAACAUGGAAAUGAAGAAUUUGUAAGUUGAGAAAUAGGAAACUAUUGUCAAAUUAUUUAAAAGACUCCACGAAUUAUGAAAGUAUAUUGCCUCGAUAAAAUAUCUUAGCAAGAAAUCUGCAGUAGUAGAAGUCCAGUACAUGAGUAUGCGUACCCUAUGACUAGCAGUCAUAGUUUUUAGUGCAGAAAAUAUAAGAUUGUAAAGACUUUAGUGUAUUCCCUCCUGCAAAAGUUGAGUUUUUGUUGCUCAAUUACUUGCUUCUUGCAUUUGUUCUCUUAUAUCUGAAUUUGGAGGACCAUGUUUGUAACUUAUUAUAUAAGAUCCAGUAAAGACUUAGGCUUUGUGGAUUUAUGCUUUCGUGUCUUUAUAUUUGGGAAACCAUUUUUGCCGUUCAAAUUGAAUUAUAGUGCAAACCUUUAGCAGACUAUUUGUGAUGAAUUAAUAGGAGAUUAGUAAAUAACGAAAUUUGGCAUAAAAUCUGUCCUACUCUUGGUGAAGGUGAAAUGAGUACGUCUUGCACGAGUCAACAUCAACAUAACGUGGUAAAGCAUUUGUUGCGGCUUCCAAUCUUUAGUAUGUAGCUUCAUUUGGAGAUGAACCUUAUAGGCUUUAGUAGGCUAUUGGGCAGGAUUACUAUUUACACAGAUGAGGAUUAGACAUCAAUUUUGCAUCACUUGAUUUAGUUCCCUUAAGCUAUGAUGUCAUUGAUGACUCUAUGGUGGCACAUGGGUGUGGGGAUCUGUCUUCACAACCUAUAUUUAGCAUAACUAAAUAACUGGUAAUAUUCUCACUUAUUAUUAGUACCUGAUGAUGACCUUUUCCGUUGUAUCUGGAUUUUUAUCUUUCAGCCAUUUUCAGUAUAAUGUUUUUUGGUUGUUCAAAAUCAUCUUCCUUUGUUAUUUAACAGAUAAAUGAAACCUGAAUUCCGAGCAGUUAACACUCGCCCUUACUAAAUGUGCAGUUUCAAUAGCAGACAAUGCUUCAAAGCAUCACAAUCCCAUCUGCGGCAGUUCAAAGUUCACUUUAACUGGUCAUGGGCUUGUAGCCUCACAAGCAGCAAUACAGGCAGAGGAGAGGAAGAAGAAAGAGGUUUCAAAUGCUUCUACUUGCAACAGAUUGGUUUUCCCUGAGUUACAUGUCAGUCCCCUUAGAAAGUUCCAGUUGAUAGAUUCUGAUUCUGAUUCUGAUGAACCUUCUCCCCCUGGAGGUCCACAGAAAGUAGUCAAUCAAGUAGAAUUUUCUUCAAAAGACAGAGCUUCUGGUCCCCACUUAGUUGAAGCUGCAGCUGAAGUGAAGAAAUCUAAAGCCUCAGCUAGAAUGUCCCAAUCUGAGGAUUUAUGGAAAGAAAUUCAUUCAGAGAAGCCCUUGAACAUACCUACUCCAGCUUUUGAUGAGGUUUGCGAGGAGUAUUUCAGAUCUGUGAAAGGUAAAAAUGGAUUUUGGAAUUGCGACAAAGACUGUUAUGAAACCAGCAAUUUCAGUAAGAAUAAUGUAGAAGAACAUGUGGCCGGGCCUCAACCACCUGCUCAUGCCUAUUAUUAUCACGAGGAUCCAAGGAUCCAAAAGCUCGUUCAUUCUCGUUUGCCCAACUUUUUUCCCUUGGAGGCUGGAAACAACCAAGGACAGAAACAGCUUAAUGCAUGCCCAAUUGAUUACAUGUAAGAUGUUAAUAAUAUGCACACUUCAAAGUUUUAACGGAUACUUGUGGUAGAUGUAUAAUGUACCAUGUCUUACUUAUUCAGGGGCCAAUUCAAUCAACGAGAAAUUCCGAAACAUGGUAAAAAGGGACCUAAGAAUGGGCCAAGCUCAACAAGGAGCCAAAAGAGUGCAAGAAAAUCAAGUGUUCAAGAGUUGUCACAGGAAUCAGAGAGCUGGAUAAAUCCUAGAUGUUCUGCUAAAAAUCCUAAAGAUGCUGGCAAAAGAAGGAUACAUGCAGUAGGUAAAUCUUCUGGGCACUGGUAUACAGCUGCUGACGGAAGAAGAGUAAGUUGAAACACAAACUCCAUUUGUCUGAAGAAUUGCGUUCAGAUUGUUGUUUUUUUUUCAAUAGUUUCUGAACAUAGAUCUACUGUUAUGUUGAGUCUAUAUCUUAGCUGAUAGUUUUCAUGACUUAAGCACAAUGAUUCGCUUUAAGUUGGUUUUGUUACAGAAAUGUUUGGAUUCUGCAUUUCUAUGUUGCUUGAGGUUUCUGAUUGUUUUUUCCGCGUUGCUUCCUGUUCUUUGAUACUUGCAAUACGCUUUACUUUCCCUUUGUUUCUUUUUUCUAUUGCUUUGUAGACGUAAUAUUUUAUGCCAAAUUCACAUCAUAUGGUGCUUAUUAACCUAAUGGUCAUCUUCAGGUUUAUGUAGCUGGAAAUGGACAGGAGUUGACUGGUCAAAUUGCUUAUAGACAAUACAGAAGGGUAUGAUCUGUGCUACAACUGAAUACUGAAUCUCAAAAUGUCAGCCUCCCAUGUGUUCUUCACAACGAAAUAGUUUCUAAAGUUGAUCGAAGUUUGGGGCUGGCGGUUUCUUCGCUAUAUUACUUUUAAACCUCAUUCAGUUCAGCAUAACUUUAAAUUAAUAUAGAUUGAUAAAUGAUGUUGACAACAUCCAGGUGUAGGUUGAUUUAGCAGAUUUAUAUUUAAAACCACAUCAUAAUUGGUAGUUUUAUGAAUGAACCGUGAUUGUAUCAUUCUGUUGGCUGACAGGAGAGUGGAGCUGGACUCAAGAAGUCCAAGAAGAAAGCAGCAACAAAGAAGAAACCUGCUAGAAAGAAGAAAUAAUCCUUGAUUACCACUCCUCUCGGUUUCCUGCUAUCUCACCUGUGUGACUCUAUCCAAUUAGGGCAGCUACAUGAACCUAACUCAACCUUUUUCUUUCAAAUAUUUGAAAAAGAAGUGUGAUUUAUAUGCAUUGCUGAAAGAAUAAAAAGGGCAGCUUGGUGUUGUAUCUGUAAAUGUUGAUUAUGCAAAAUUGUAUUUCCUUUUAUUUGGUUAAGAUUGUUCAAGUGAUACCAAUAUAUUGUUACAGAAAAACCAAAAGCAUUCGUAAUUUACUUCAUUGUGAAUUUUGUUUUUGUUUCACAAAGAAAAAAGAAAAGCCAAUUAAUCAUAAUUGCAUAAUUUGUCAAAAUACUGCUACGUCUUAGAUGGCAUGUGAUUUCCUGGAAAAGGGACAUUGCAAUUUGUGGAAAUUCUAUCCACGUGGCAGUUGAACCAAUUUUAUAAUAAUAUAAACAAUCAUUUGAUCCUAGCAUAGUACUAUAUGCUUGACAUUUCAUUCAUCAACUAGCCAUCUGUCAAGCUUUUCCAUUCUUGCCAUAAGAGACCAACAUUACUUGUAAAGGAAACUAGGGGAAUCAGGCUGUGUUAGGCACAGCAUUGGCCCUUCAAUGUGUUCUUACUUGUGUUGUGCCCUUGCUAAGGCAAGUUUCAUAUUAUAUGGUUCAAAGGCUGCAUUAUCAAUAAGCUCAUGUACCAUUCCUAAUCACAUAAUAAAGACAUAAUUAACAUAAGCACAGCUUAAUAGUACAAUUGUCAUUUGCAUAACUGUCAAGCAACUACAUACUUUCCAGUGCGAUUUUGUUCAAAACAAAGGUAGGGUAACAUGUUAAUUGCUUAAUUCAUAUUUCAUGAUAGUUACUCCCUCGGUCUCAUUGAAAGUGUCCUACUUUCUAUUUUGGGAUGUCCCAAAACAUUUAUCCUGUUGGAAAAGUCAAAACUCCUUUUAGUCUCUCUUUUCAAUAUAAUCCUUCUUUCUAAUUAUAUAUAUAUAUAUAUAUAUUACCAUUCAAAUUUAAAUUUAGAAUUUAUGGGGAUAAAAUUGGAAAGAUAAGUACAAACAUCACAAUCAAACUACUAUUUUUAAAAAAUUGAAUUUCUGAAAUAUGACUAAAUAAUUGGAACGGAGGGAGUAUAUAAUAUCAUAGGAUCCAUUGAAUUCUAAUGAUAAAUUGAAUCUUAAUGGAUCUUAAUAUGAUUCCAAAAGGAUGAUAGUCCAACAAUUCAGUGGUACAUUAAUGUAAUAAAAGAUAGUACGAAGUUAUGGGGGGAACUUCACAUCAUAGCAUCACGCCUUUUCUUCAAAGGGCUUAUCUCAGCAGAUUUAGGAGAGGUUGGAUUCUUGUCUUAAGUGGAAUCCUCCUCAGCGGUUAGUGGAAAGAAGAUGAUCUGUUUUCUCAGCAAAUGGUGCAAUAAUUUUCUAACUUUAACAUUUCUUUUUUUUUUUUCUUUUAAACAGAUCCAAACUAAACUAAGUCAAUGCAGUAAAAUCAAACAGCAAAAGCAAACAUAUACUAAUUCAUGCUGAUAAUGUUUAAGGGCUUUGAACAGAGAACACAAAUAUUCUAAUUCAAGACUCCAAAAAAAAAAGCCAGCAGAACAAAAGGCAAAAUUGUCAUGGAGAUUUUACAGAUGUCUGAUAGCAAUAAAUCUUAUUUUAUUACCUUUUUUUUUGUCUUUUACGCUUUUUCUGCUUUUCAAUUAAACAAAACUAGAUUGCCCUAUUUGAUAACUCAAUUCAACACUUAAACUUAAAUAAAUCAGAUCUUAACAUAUUCAGACCGUUUGAUAAUCAAAAAUUGAAUGUCUGAAUUAAUUAAGGGUCUGUUUGGUUGGAAGUAAAAUGUUUUCCUUGGGAAAAUAUUUUCCGUGGAAGUAAUUUUCCAUGAAAAUCAUUUCCCUUUCAUCAUUUUUAGGUGUUUGGUUAGCUUAUUAAAAAUAUUUUCUUACUUCAUUUUUCUGGUGUUUGUUUAACUAUUGAAAUAUUUUCACUUUUAUCUCUAUCUUUACUUUCUACACAUUAUAACUACAUACUUCUUCCCAUGCAAAAUAAGAAAAUUUAUCUCAUUGUUUAACUUUAAAAAAUCUUGGAAAAAUGUAUAUAUGAACAAAAAAUAUCUCCUUAAGCAAUAAACAAAUUGCUGGCCAUUUAGUGUCAAAUAUCAAUCACAUGCAAUGCUUAUUGUGACAUAUAUCUUGCACUCUCACUGCUGAAAGUUUCUCUAGAAAAAAAUGUCCCUAUUAUACAUAAUUAAUUACUAACAUAGGAUGAGUAGGAUGAGGUUUUUUUUUUUUUUUUUUUUUGAAUAUACUAGGGGGAGGGUUAGGUUAGGUUGGGUGGUACGGGGGAGGGAGUGUAAGGAAGAGGUCUUGGGUUCGAGUUCUCCUGUUUACACUAAAAAAAAAAAAGAACAUAUUACAAGAUGUUUUCAGUAAGUUUGAAAUAUACUACAGGCGGGAUGCAUGCAUUUCGGAAAACAACUUCAGUAAGUUUGGAAAGAAAGUUGUUUUCCAUAAGAUGAGUGAAAAUAUUUUACAUAGGAAAAUGUUUUCAGUAACUUUUGUGCAACCAAACACGGGAAAUUAGGAAAAUAUUUUCCUGGAAAACAUUUUCACCCGAAACAAACGGACCCUAAGUGACAUUAAAUUUUCUAAACAAAACAUGCUCCCAAAAUUCAGUAAUAAACUUUCCACUUAUCACUGAUUGUGAUAUGCAUUCAAAUAUAUUAAAUUUAAUACUUAACAAUUCAAUAACUUAAUGGAUUCAGACUUCAAUUUUCAAUUUUCAAUAUUAUCAAACGCUUCGUAAGUCAAAACAAUAAAAGGAAACAGCACAAGCAAACACAUGCUAACAAAUGCUGAUAAUAUCUAAAACCUUUCAACAGAGAACAUAAAGGCCAUAAUUCAAUUAGCAAGAUAACAGAUUCAAGGCUCCAAAUAAACAAGAAAAAAAAAAAAAGAAAAGCCCAAGCCAGCAGAACAAAAGAUGAAAGCUUUAUGGAGUUUUUAGACAAACUUCACAGCGACAAAUGCUAACUUUCAGAAGAAAUAGAGGCACAGCUAACAGUCCAGUCACCUUGAUUUUUUUUUUUACGAAACGUUAGAUUCAUUUCAUUCAUUGUAAUGAAUAAUUACAUGUGCGACCAAAGGCUCGAAAGGUCUGUACAUCUAGUGCUCAAAUAGCACUGAGAAAAUUCCAUUCCUCAUCCACAAAAAUGCUUAAGGCAUGGGAACUUAGGUUGUGUUUGGAUUGCAUUUUCUAUCAUUUUUCAUGAAAAAAUUACUAUAGCGAUUUGAUAUAUGUGAGGGAAAAAGGUGAUCACGGAAAACGACAAUAUUUUUCGACGGAAACAAGUAAUCCAAGCAUGGCCUAAUAUUUUACUUCUUUGUAAUACUUUCCUCAUUAACCAAGCGAAACAAGCACAUGCGAAACAGCUUCUGCAUGUUAAGAAUGUCAUUUAUCAAGGUAGCUAUACUGCUAUUGGAGGGCUCUUGUACCUGAUCUGUCUCUUAAGUUCUUGGUUCCAGCCAGCUUGAUUGCAAAGAGAAGAUGUACAUUUUAUAACCAGAAGCCACGAGAAAGAGGGAAAAUUAGUACAAAGAAAAAAACAGGAAAAUUAAAACGAAAAAAAAAUACUAAUAAAGCAAUAGAAAUAAUCAAGAAAAAUAAAUUAAUUCUAGAUGCAAUUAUAUACCACUUGUUAUCAAGGGUAUUUAUAUUAACUUUUUUGACGAGAUGUACACAAAAAACCAUUCAUUUAGUGGAGAAGCCGAUAUAAAUGUUCUUUAAUAUACAAAAUUGCACUGUCUUUGUUAAUUAAUCAUUCUAGUGCCCCAUUGUCACACAUUUUUCAUUGUAAUAAGUGAAAUCAUCACCAAAAGAAACUAUGAAACUAUGAAAUAAUUUUAUCGGUUGUACGAGAAAAUUGUAUGGAAGUGAAAAGAAACUUCAGAAAAAAAAAAAGAGUGUGAUUUCUUAAAGCCCAGAUAAAGUUUGUACAGUGGUUUGUAAAAUCUACGUCUAGGGGGAAAAAAACCCACUUUCCGCACUUUGUUAAAGUAUGUCUCUCAACUUCAUCUUUUUUUUCAUUAUUUUUGUUGGAAAAAUCGUUUGAAUCACUCACUAUACAAGAAAAUCAACAUCUUGGAACUCUACAAGUACUCAUAGAUUCCCCUCUCUGAUGCAUUAGCCAGCAAGUCCCUGGAAUUACCUUUCGAAUUAGAGCUACAAAAUCCCCGAAAGCUACUUUCCUUUGCAAGUAUUAAAAAAAAAAGGUAUUUGAAGUUAAGCAUAUAAAAAACAAAUAAGUUUGUUCAGUCGUACUUGGUAACUCCAUGUGUCGCACUGGCGCCCUAACCCAGAGGAGGGGCAAGAACGGUUGCAGAACCGUUCCUGAAGAUUCAUGACCAAAAUUUGGCCAAAAAAAAAAAUAUAUAUAUAUAUAUAAGGUUCAAAUCACAUCUUAUAUAUCGAUUUUCACAUUAUAUGUGGGGUUUAUAAAAUUUUGUUCUAUAGUUACACGUUAUUGAAAGUGAAUUAUAUUAUUUGCAUACAAAGUUAUAUCUUGUGCAUUUUACACUAAAUUGACUCGAGCAGUUUUUCUGACAACCUUUCGGGCCCAUGCUCCCCUAACCCCUAGGGAAGCAAUAACGAACCAUUUAAAACAGAGCUCUACAUGAAAACUUGCUACUGUUUUUGCUUUUUCAGAUAUAUAUAAGGUUCAAAUCGCAUCUUAUAUAUCGUUUUUCACAUUCUAUGUGGGGUUUACAAAAUUUUGUUCUAUAGUUACACGUUAUUGAAAGUGAAUUAUAUUAUGUGCAUACAAAGUUAUAUCUUAUGCAUUUUACACUAAAUUGGCUCGAGCAGUUUUUCUGACAACCUUUUGGGCCCGUGCUCCCCUAACCCCUAGGGAAGCAACAACGAACCAUUUAAAACAGAGCUCUACAUGAAAACUUGUUACUGUUUCUGCUUCUUCAAAAAUAAUUAACAUAAAAAUUAACAUCCGUCAAUAGCACCGUGCAUAAUAUUUAAGAUUUAAAUAGUUAUGCCUUGUUUAGAAUGCCCUUUUUUUUUCGUGAAUACAUUUUUCAAUGAUUUUUGUACCUCACAUACAACAAAUCAAAUCGUUAUAAUGUAUUUUCUAUAAAAACUUUAGAAAAUAGCAAUCUAAAUAUUGACGUAUAGUUACCAAACACUAAUAUAGGGAAAUAAGUCUACCUAUUUCAUCAGAUUAUAUCAAAACAAAAAGCAUCAUGCACUAAAGUUCCCCAAUAUACCUACCAUAGUGUAUGGUGGAUAUAUUCCGUUUCCUGGAAAAUGCAAAACCAUCCACAUCGCACGUAAAUAAAUUUUAAUAGAAUGUAAUCAAUGUAUAGCCAAACUUUUUUUUUUCAUUAAAUUAGCCAGCACUUCCAUUUGUUUUUUUGCCAUAAACAUUGCUAAAUAAAAGAUAACUUAACCAAUCUCAGAUCAGGCAAAUCCUUAACGAUAAGAAAGCGAAUCAAACAGAAAAUCAAAAUGGCUAUUGAGCCAGUCAAAUUCGUUAUAGUUGUUCAAUUAAUCCACUGUCAAAAUUGUAAGGAUCGAAAACAACCUAAGGAGGGGUAUAUUAGGUGAAUUAAGAAACUAAUCAGAUUAUGGGCACUUUUUGCUCAAUAUGAAAUUUACCCUCUUUUCUAAGUGAUCACACAAUGAAUCAAUCAAUCAAUGAACAAAAUCACUUGAGAGAAGUAGAAGAUAUAAGCAAUUUAAAGAUCACAAAAUAACAAUAAGCAAAUAAGAAGAGAAGAAUUGCAAACCAAUUGACUACCAAGCGCCUCUUGAGCUUGUAGAUCAAUUCAAACAAGUUUUUUCAAGUUCAUGAAAUACAAUCAAUCUUGUGUAUAAAGGAAGGUUCACUUCCUCCUUACCCCAAGCUCCAUUCGGUCAAGUUGGAAAGUUUUACUAUCCCUUAGGACAACCCUCACAGAGUUACACUAUUGAAGUAUUCACUCACAAAUGAAAAGCUUACAAUAAACUUCAUACCACCAAGACUACAAAUCUUUCUUGGAGAGUGUUUUCUCACUAAAACUACUCUAUAUCUUUUGUAUCUUCAGUGUACAAAAGUUAUUUGAAAUUUCUGACCAUGCUCUAUUUACAGGAGACCAAGAAAGUGCUUCAUUAAUGAUUCCAACGGAUAGAAAGUAGUUGAAGAGUCAACUAGCCGUUGGGAGUAUCGGACGUCCGGUACAUCCGUAGCAUGCGUCCGACAGCAGGCAAUGAGUUUGAAAAGCUUCUUCAAUUCUAUUGAACGUCCGGUGCUUGCGUCCGAAAGCAGAUAAUGAGUUAGAAGGAAUAUCUCAAUUCUAUCGGACGUCCGAUAUUAUCUUUGUGAGCGUCCGACAGCUUUCGUCAAGUUUGAAGGAUAUUAUCGGACGUCCGAUACUUGCGUCCGAUCGAAGUCAGUGAGUUAGGGGGAAUGUCUUAUUUCCUUCGGACGUCCGGUGAUGGAGUUCUUCAUGCGUCCGAAGUUGCACAAUAAUUAUCGGACGUCCGAUCCUGUCUUAACAAGCGUCCAACAGCUUUCAGCAACUUUUGUUUCUUUCAAUUGCACUUAAUCUUUGAAUCUGAUUUGUUUCAUAACUCAAAGUAUAUCUUGAAAAUAUAUUAGUAUCAUCCAUUUAUUUUGUAAACAUCAAAAGUUAGGGACUAAGAUCAACAAAAAUCAUUUGAAUAGCAAUACAAAGACAUACCUACUAAUCUACUUUAUAAAGAAUAUGACCACAGAAACAAGAAUUCUUCUGUCUGCUACUUCACUAAUGUUGAUGUCCUUCUGCCAGAUUGAAGUUCAAUGCUGCUUCCAGUAAAAGCACCGGGAGGACCUUUAUUGUCAUCAUCAUCUCCAUAAGGUGGAUGUUUCUUUGAUGAUCCUGUAGAUUUACAAUGCAAGCCAGGAUAUGCAGGAUCUUUCUUGAAGUUAUCUUCUGAAAUUGCUGAAUCUGUACUCAUGUAAGAACUAUGGCCGCCUUGAACAUUUAGUACUCGCUUGAGUUUGGAAUUUUCCCCUGCUGCCUCCUUCACUAGUGCUCUUAAUAACAGCACCACUAUUUCCACGGUGUCUUAGAUUAUAUCUGUUCUUUGGUUCUUGACCAUCUUGAGGAUCAACUGGUGUAAGCUGAUGAUGAACUGUGCCCUUGCUGCUUCCUUCACCAGUACUCUUAAGACCAAAAGCAGGAUUUUUAUGCAAUCUUAGAUUGUAAAAACCUGUCUUUGAGCCUUAACCAUCUUGAGGAUCAACUGGUGUAAGCUGAUGAUGAACAUUGCCCUUGCUGCUUCCUUCACCAGUACUCUUAGAGACCUAGACCAGCAUUUUUAUGCGAGCUUAGAUUAUAAGAACCUGCCUUUUGGCCUUGAUCAGGAUCAACAGGUUUAGGCUGAUGAUGAACAUUGCCCAUGCUGCCUACUUCACCAGUACUCUUAAGAUCAAGACCAUUAUUUCCACGUGGUCUUAGAUUGUGGACACUUCUUGAUAGUUCUUACUCAGGAAGAUGAGCCAGUUCCUUCGACGUGGCCUCGGGAUCUUCACCUUGUUUUUGUUUCUUAGACCCUUCAGCUCUCCGUCUGUACAAUAAACAAUCAAUCCAAGAUAUGAAUAAUGAAUUAAGAAACGCAAUGGAUGUGAGAAACAGCAAGAGUAAAUCAAAAUUUUGACUUGCUUGUCCUUCAUCUUAGAAGUUGGAAAAAAGAGACCGAAUCUGUCCAAGAAAUUAUCAAGAAAAGCAAUAAUUCUUGACUGAAGGAGAAUCUGAUUAGCAUUGACCGACUGAAGGGAUGAAGAAAGUAUAAAGAUUGAUUAAAAAUGGAGAGAGAUGAUCAAGAGAUGAGUAGGAGAAGAACAGGGGCGAUUGAAUAGCUCUAUUUCCAGCUCUGCACUAGAAAUGGCUGUGCAAUCUGGGUUGGGAGGAUAAAUUUUCAACUACUGCUUCUGAGUCCUUCUCAAACGAGAUAUACAGAAGAUGAAUUCAAUAUAUACGUGGGGAAGAACAAUGAGAAUGGAAGUUGGAGUUGUGAUAUAAUCAAUUGAAGGAAAUGGGAUGGGAUUUUUGAACUCUGUCUUAUAGGGAAUUUUAUAUCAAGCGAACAGAGACUUAGCGACCGCGUUAGGGACGAUUGUUGACGGUUACUGGAUUGUGCAGUGUGCACAAGAAAUGGUGAAAUUUGUCUAAAAGAAAAGCAAUUUGUCAUCUUUAACUUACUAGCUCGCGUAUCAAAAUCUCAUUUGGGCCUUCAACAAGUUUGGGCCUCAGAAGAAGUACGGGACAUUUCAUGUGUGAGAAUAAACAAGUCAUGUUGACUAGACAUGGCAGGGGUCGGAUACUCUCAAAAAUCCAUUUUACUAAACUCUAAACCAUAUAUUUAAGUCUUUUACCAAACUCCAUGAGUAACUCUACAGAUUUUAACUUCCAUUACCAAACACUCUCAAUCUCUAGUUCAGAUUAUUCAUCGGAUACCUUUACCUGUUAAUUUGAAUAGUUCAAAAAAAGGUAACUAAUUAUUAUUAAACUAAAAUUAAUACAUACAUCAUAUUAAAUCAACACAUUACGUUAAUUAACUAUUACCUUAAAUUUUAAAAUGAUAGACCAAAAAGAUGGAAUGAGUGGUUGUCUUUGGCUGAGUGGUGGUACAAUACCACCUACCAUACUUCCAUAUAGAUGAGUCCAUUUGAGGCACUUUAUGGUCUUAAACCAUCACAACUAGCUCUAGGGCCAUAUUUGCAAACCAAUAUAGAUGCUGUGAAGGAUUAUUUACAGGAAUGAAAGAAGCUAGACGCUAUGCUAAAGAAAAACCUAGAGUUGGCACAGCAGAGAAUAAAUAUGUAUGCUGAUAGAAAGAGAAGUGAAAGGGAAUUUGCUGUGGGGGACUGGGUGCAUUUGAGGCUACAAUCUUACAAACAAAACACAGUGGCUGUAAGAGAGACUCGCAAGCGCUCUGCCAAGUAUUGUGGACCAUAUCAGGUCCUAAGCAGAAUUGGAAAGGUAGCUUAUAGGCUGAGAUUACCAGCUCAAUCCUUAAUUCAUCCAAUUUUUCCAUGUCUCUUUACUGAAAAGGAAGGUAAGUAAGCAUGCUGUUCCCACCACACAGCUUCUAGUCACUGAUAAAGAGGGUUGAGUGAGGAUGGAGCCUAUUGCAGUGCUUGAUAGAAGGAUGGUGAAGAGGAAUAAUGCUACAGUUGGUUGGUGCAGUGGUGGAACUCAUCACCAGAAGAAGCAACAUGGGAAGAUGCUAAGUACAUUGAGACAGUUUUUCCAAGUUUCCAAUCUUGAGGACAAGAUUGUGCUAAGGGGGAGGCCUUGUCACAGUGGACAGGUCAAAAUGGAAGCUCAGAUUGGUAGUCAGAAAUUGGGAAGAAGGCAUGAGAGGUAAAAGCUAAUUUUUUGAAGAGGCGAGGAACGACCCUUGCUGAGAAGCACGCCUCUGCUGGAGCAAAAGGAAGAGUAUAAGUAGCAGUUGUAACUUUUUGUCUUUUCCCUUAUGGACACAUGUCGUCAUUCAAUUAGUUGUUAGGGAGUUAGUUAAGAUUAAAUAAACCUUGUGAGCUCACAUUUUCUUUCAGAUACAAUUUUGCUUAUUUUGUCAAGAUUGAGUUUGCUUAGUUAAGUGAAUACUUUCUUCCUUUUCUCGCAAGUUUCCUUCACAACAUUCUUCACCCUCUAAUCCCACACAAAUAUCUGUUUCUCCGUAAUAUUUGAAUUAAUUAAUGAGAAUUUGAGCUUCUAGUGUAUCCAUAUCAUUGUUACAUUGAUUUAUUUGGAAAAUUGUUUCUAAAAUUACCACAGCUCUAGUCACCAUUACACCAAGAUGAUGGUGACGAUCAAAGGAUCCCAUUUUUGUGAUUUGACUGCGUCAUUUCCUGAUAUCGAAUUCCAGACUAGUAUUAAUAUCUACCUCAAGAUUAACUUGGACUAGUGUAGCUGCAUCAUGGUGUUCUUAGUCUUGAUAGAAAGGCUGAAGUUCAAGAUUUGGGAUUAGUGAAGCUGCAUCAUGCAAUUCUUGAUCUUGAAGAAUAUGCAAAUGAAAAUCUUCUUGAACGGCAGUGGCAACCUUGCCGACAGCAGCUUGCUGACUAUCGGGAUUUUCCUGAUUAAUGGGAUGGCAUUUGGAUGAAAUGCUGCUUUCUCCUCCUGCUACUGAUGGCCUUGGCCCUGCGGUGGAUUUUGAUGAUGAUCAUGGGGUGGCGGGAAAUGCCCAUCUCUUCUUGCUUUAUAACUAGUAUAAACAAUACAUUAGUCGAAGAAUAUGAGCGAUUAAUUUAAUAUAGGUAGCAAAGCUGAGAAUAUAUAGCAGUACUAAAGAUUGGAUUUACUUGGCUUUAAACCAGGGUAACACCCUGGAAGCUAGAUAAGGAGACUUGCGUAAUUGUUCAAGAACUGGAUAAUAUUUUCUAGAUUGAGCUUAAUUUUGACGAAUUGUGACCAACAGAAACAACAAAAGGAAGAAGAGGGAGGAGGGGGUGGAUGGCGGCAGCGGUGGUGCGAGGAGGGGUGGUCACAGCGGUUGAGCAAAGAGGGGUAGUGGUGGUGGGUAGUGUGUGGAAGAAGAAAGAUGAGAGUAUUUUUUAUUUAGUUUUUAGGUGUAUUUGAAUUUGUGUGUUUUUGGAGUUAUUUUUGAAGUUAUUUUUGGAAUUUAUUACUAUAGAUUCUACAAACAAAAAAUAGUUUUGAGAAAACAAAGGAAAUCCACACAAGGUAUUUUUCAAAAACUUUACUGUAAUUGUACAUAUGGAAAAAUUUUACUGUAAAUGUUUUUAGGAGUGUUUUCGAGUGUAUUUUUAGGAAUUGUUUUUUGAAUUUAUAACCUUUUUGAGAUAUUUUGAAAAAAGCUUACACCACUCACCACCACCACUCUACUCUCUCCCUCUUUCUCCCCCUCUCUCAUUCUCCCUCCUCCUCCUACAUCCUUCCUCCUCCCUCUCCCUCUCCUUCUCGUACUCAAAUUUUGUCCACCUCCAAACCUUCCAAAUUUCAAGCAUUGUUCCUGAGAAUGCAAACUUCUCAAGAACCCCUAUAAAACCUUUCUUCUGAAUGUAGAUCAAAACACCAACAAGACUCUCAACAGGGCUGCGAAGGUGAUGCUCUAGGAUUUCUUGACAAUUUCUUGAAACUUGGAGUUGAAGUUGAGUUAGAUGAAGACCAAAUAGCUACUUUAUGAGCUGCAAAACCUGCAGGGCUAAUAAUGGCUCUUGUGGGUUCAAUCCUUCAGACCGUGGAAAGCCAUUCCUCUGUUUCAAAUCCCCAGCUGCACAAAUUCGUGAAAAGGGUGCCAAUAGGAUUGCAAUCUUGUGCAUUCUUUUCUUGUUAAUGUGUUUCUUGAUCAUAUUUUUUGUUGGUACUAUUAUUUUUUGAUAUAGGCAAAAAGGAUUGGCUUUAGAAGAAGAUCCCGCCAUUGUUUUCCAUCGAGACACUGCUCAACUAGUCUUCUUCCACCAAUGUUUACUUAUGAGAAGCUUGAGUCUUCUAUCCAUCAUUUCGACCAAAAACACAAAAUUGGCGAUGGAGGAGAGAAGAGAGAGGAGGAAGAAAAGGGAGGAAGGAGAAAGGAAGGGGGAAAGUGGCAGCAGUGGUGGAGGAGGGAGAAUGGUGGCUGUGGCGGUGGCAGUGGAGAGUGAUUGGUGGUGGUGGUGGUGGAGGUGGUGGUGGUGGUGUUGGAUAGUGUGUGGAAGAAGAACGGUGGGAAUUUUUUUUUCUUUUGGUUAUAUUAUGUGUUGUAUUUUUGGAAUUUAUUAAUGUAGAUUUGAAAGACAAAAACAAUUUUUGGAUCACAUUUUUUGAGGAGCUUUUAGGAAAAUUUUAUUAUGCCAUUUUUUAGAAUGUGAUGUAUGUAAAGCAAAAACGUAUUAUAAAGUGUAUAAAGAAAUAUUCAUGGAAUUUUUAACAUAUGAUGAAUCAAAUUACCAAACACUGUUUGUCUUUUCAGAGAAUCGUUGUCAAAUGAAAAAUUGUCAAAUGAAGCAAAAAAGCCAUAUUUAUUAAAACAACCACAAUCCAUAUGAAGACACUAUUGACAAAUAACUAUAGCAAGAGGCAAAAUAUUAUGCCACUAAUGAUUUAACAACUACGUCUUCCAAAAAAGAUGCAUAGAUCCUUUGCAUCAUGCUACCAAAACUCGGUUAUGUAGACUCCAAUUGUAUCAACUAAACUGGCUCCAUCCUAGCUAAAUCAUAGUUCUCUAUGUUCCUGUUUAUUUGUCUCCAACAAACAACCUUAUACCCAAAAUGUCCAUGACAAUUUCCCAAAGAGAAAACAAUAAAAAGAUGUAUCUGAACAGACCAGCAUGGUACAUUGGUACCAAUGUGCCCGAUAAAACUCCGAGCAAAAGCCCUUCUAAUCAUGAUAGUUCAACUGACCAAUCAUAUCUACCUCAUAUAUACAAAGAAGGAGCAAAUAUUUUCUGUAAAGCACUCCUGGAACUGGACAGAAAAAAGAGGCAGUUCAUCAAUUUACUUUCAACACCGCAGACAGAACAAGUGGAUUGGUGGAGCUUGCCUAGCAUAUAAGCCUAAGUGCCAAGUCUCCAUAAGAGCCAAGACAUUAAAGCAAAUUAUGGUACAAAACCUUUUUACGGUACCAUCUCAUGCUAAUUGACUUCAUUACCAAUCUCCCUUAAAUGCUUUACAGCACUGUUGAAAGAAAACUAUUUAACUAGCAAGUAGCCACAGAGGUGAAUCAGAAGCAAAGGAAUUAGAUAAGAAGCAGUACGAAUAAGCUACUCAAGUUGCUGUACUGUUGCAUUUGCUAAUCUAGAGCAAAUCCAGCAUCUAGUACCCGCAAGAGUAUCACUUUUUUGGUAUUUGAGCUCCUAAAGCUAGCAAGAAUUCCGUGAGUAACCUUCAUUGUAAUGUUCCAAAGAAAUUGUACACACCAAGCAAAUGUGUCUACAACAUUGCCUGUAAUUGUCUUAACUAAGGUCCAGGCAGCACUGCUUAGAUGUAAUCAAUUAGUGUCUUCCUAAAGUCAUCUAUCUUGCUGCACUGUUCAAGAAAAUCUCUACCUAAAGAAAAAUGCCCCACAAAUUGUUGAAAGAACUUAUACUUCAACCCUGGUUCAAUGAACAUGCCUAAGAUUCAAGAAAGGAAAGCUAUCAAGACUUUUUGGUCAUGUACAGACAGUUUUUCAAGUUUGUUUCACAAUUUCUAAGGCCAUUUUAAAUAGUCACCUUCAGAAUCAACCCCACCCCCCCAACAAAAAAAAGAAGGCCUACUAGGAGCAGAAUUCCCGUCUUUUGGUGCCAAAAGGCAGGGAUGUAGUGUCCCUGUAUUUUGGUGCAUGUUGCAACAUCUUAAGAGAGUCCUCAAAGAGAGUUUCACAGGCAAGAAUCUCACAUUUUUUCAUAGUACCAUAUAAAAGAAAAAACAUUUUAAAGCAAGAAAAAUAACAGCAGCUAAACUGAAUUUAAGUAAACUAGCUGGCUAAAGCAACUAUAUAUGAUCAAUUAUGUGUUGCACCUAAAGUAUCAGCACUAUGGGCUUCAAAAAUUCAGAUAAUGGUUGCCAGUUAGAUUCAACUGUUGCUAUUUCAGUUCAACCAGCACUGGAUCUUUAGAUGAAAUAGUAGUACCUGUAACCUUAAAAUAUCAAGUAAAAGCAUAAACAGACUCCAAAAUGAAUCAAAACCUCCAAAUCAGUAUAAUUUUCAAUAUUCCCAACAACUGGUUAAAAAUUAAGAAAUACUAGCCAUGGUUUGUCCAACUUCCUAAACAGCUCAUGUAAGUAUGAUAGAAUAUAACCAUCACCGCAAAUUCCUUCUUGAAUCCUAGCAAUCUCUAACCCUUCCUCCAUGCUUCUUGAUGACAUGUAACCUGUGAUGUUAAACAAAAAAAAGUGCAAUGAACUCAACAACCCACAAAAUAAACAAACCACAAUAUGUGAAAACAGCAUAUUUUGCAAAACCAAUUUUAAAAACAAUAUUUCCACCAAAUAACUGAAGCAAUAGGUGAAACCUUAUUGCACUUAAUGGUGAAUUACACUAGCAAUAAGCUUCUCCAUCCUUUAAAAACACCAAAAUUUUGGUACCUGAAUCAAGAGAAACAUGUCCAGCUAUAUUAUGAACUCAACCACAAAUGAACAGAUAAACUCAAUAAACUAAUACCCUCAACUAGAGAGCUUCAGCUAGAUUACCAUACUUACAGAAUAUUCCUAAAAACAUACCAUUCACAGUUUCUGUUGUUGAUCCAACUUCAAAUUCUGCAUUUUCAAUCUUUUAACUUCUUGUGGUAUAUCAUGUGUUCUAAAUUCCAACUUGAAGCAAACUAUCCUUUCCCUAAUCCCAUUAUUUCUCAACAAACUCAAAAAGUUCUCCCAGUCCAAAUCUUCCUGCUGCUGCUGCUCCUUCAUCCCCCUUUCAGUAAAAACAAUUCUAUCCACUAUCACGUAUGUACCCAUAUCAAAGACCUCAACAUUGACUUCCUUUAAAUCAUGCAGCCAAAUCUUACUUAGCUGUGAAUCAUGAAACCUAUCCUGAAUUUUUCUGAACAUCAGUGUCUCAUAUAGAAACUUCAUUGCCUCAUUCUCUCGUACGUCAUCAUCCCAGUGUGCGUAGACAUAUUUAGGACGACAAACCCAAAAAAGACCAUCAAGGGCUGAAAGUCCCUUCUCUAAGGAGAACAUCCAAUCAAAUUGCAAAGCCAACUCAUGCACCUCUUGAGGCUCAUGAGUUUUUACUAUAUUUCUAAUCUCAUCCAGAUCAAAGGAUAUGCUGCAUCCAAAGUCAAUCUCAAGUGAAAUUUUGGACUGAAUUACACUUGCUAAUAAUUCUCUCAAUUUGACAAACCAUGAACUAUUAACAUCAACCCUCUUGGAUAAACAAAAGUAAGAAGUCCAACCGCUGGAUGCAGCUGCGAAAUGAAACCGGGGUACGAUGCUGCGACCACUACAAUAUUCAAAAGAAACAAUCUUUGGAACAUCAAACUGUGCCUCUACCAACCUAUUAUUGUCCAUCAACUGUAUCCUCUUGAGGGACUGACUUGAAAUCUUGAUGCUUUCCAAUUCUCUACAAUAUCUCACUAUCAAAUCCUCAAGGUUGGGAAACUUAUAUGCAAAUUCCAUAAAGAAAGAGUCGCCGAUCCCAAUCCCAGUAAACAGUAAACACUUGAGAUUCUGAUACCAUGAGGCAGUCAAAGUAAUCAAACAAGUCGAUUCCUCAUUACCAUUUUCCUCAUCUAUGCAAGUGAGCGACUCAAGCUCUGGUGCAUCAACUAUAACCGACUGAUUUUCAAGUAAUCCAACUGCAAGUUCCUUAAGAUUAUUCAACUUAGUCACCUUAAAAUUAUCAAACCCCUCAAUGUACCGAACUUCUAACACUUCAAUUAAAGGGCAGCUUUCAGUUAUAUUAUCAAACAUCUCUACAUCCAAAUCUACCUUUAUAAGGCAUAGUUUUCUAAGCUCAGAACACAUAAUCUUCCCAACUGACAUUGGCAUGAUAUAACCGUCCCUAACACUCAAUUCAACUAGGGAUUUAGCCCCAAACACAAUUUCAGGCAAAUCACAGUCUGGGAGUGAAAAAUCAAGAUUCCUCACCCCGUUUUGCACGGCUACCUUCGUGCAUUCCUCCAACCCGUUUCGCGCGGCUACCUUCGUGCAUUCCAUGACGAAUGGGUUCAACAGCGAAAAGACUCCUUCAACCCUGAAAUUCAACGUGUCUAUACAUAUCCCCUGCUUGCGGUAGGGCUUCAGGGUUUUCUUCACGUGCCAGAAAAACUCCUCGCAAAUAUUCGUUAUCUGUUUUUUGCUCCGAAGCCAGGUGCGGCGUAGCUUGAGUUUCUUGUGGAAGUAGAGCUUAGGAUUGAAUUCCAACUUUGGGCGUGUUUGCCACGCUCCUAACCAUGAUUUCGAUAGUAAACUCGCUCUUGUUGAUUCUUCGGCUGAGAGGUAAGAUAGGAUAUGGUGGAUUAUCUCCGGUGGUAGCUCUAAAGCUCCGCCGCCACCGCUGCGGCUGCUUUCCGCCAUGGAUUGAAGGACGGAUUUCAGCAGUUUCGUAACUGCGAAGACAACCGGUAAGCCUUUUAAGUGGAACCAAUAACCAUUUUUCCUUCAACAGUAAUAAAAACUUAACAAGGAAGUGGUUGAUACUUGUAGUGGCUGUUAGCUUAAAAUUAUACAAGUAUCAACUUGUGCAAGCCUUUUAAUUAAUCAUCAAUAUUUGUGUGCUUCCAAAAAAAAAUAUCAAUAUUUGUGGUAAUAUAGGAGAAUGUUAGCUUUCACAUAAACCACUAAACCAAGGAAGUGUUCUCAAAAUGCUUGAAAAUGUUAAAAUCAUGGUAUCAGAAUAAAAAUAGCACGGUGCUUCUAUUUUUUUUUCCUUUCCUUUCUUCUUAAUAUCGAAUAAAAAUAGAUGAGUAAAUAAAAAAUUCAAGGGGUUCAUGACCAACGAUAAAGAUAUACGAGUAACGGUGAUUUUGGAAUGUAUGGAUUGUGUUCGAAAUAGUGUUAAUAAGGUAUUAACAGAGAUUUCCAGAUAUAUUACUCAAAAAAAUCGGCACAAUACACCUAAUCGAUUAGAGAUAAAAAUAACUAAAGGAUGGACCAACCUUAUUCCAUAUUUGUAUCUAUCAUUUAGAAAUAUUCGUGAUUUUCAAUAGCUUUUUGUAAACAGACUCAAAAAACAAACAUAGGUGGACUCAAAAAAUAAAUGUGUAAUUUGCUAUUUUGCCGUGUAUAUCAAAGUAUUGGCCCUGUUCAAUAAAAUCAAGUGUGUUGGAAAAGGGAAUGGUGACUAAAAAGUGCAUUGAAGUGUAUUAACAUUGUGCACCCUGUUUUGCAGGGCAUGCUUGUUUUUUUUCAACCGAUGGUAUUACACUAGUUUUUUUCUUUUUUAAAGCAGCGGUAUUACACUAGUUUGGUUCUCUCUUUUCUUCCCGCAAAGUAAUAAAUCCAACAUGUUGGAAUAGAAAUAAUUUGCAAAAAAAAAACAUAUAUAUAUUUACUCGCAUCAAAAACCUACUAUUCAACACGUUUUUUUAUCUUUUCAAUUAUUUUUUAUUUUACAUACAUUAUAUCAUAAAAAAGUGAUAUAUUAAUUAUUCUAAAUAAUCCCCUGUCCAAUCACUCUCGUCGCUUUCAAGUGCCUGACCAAUUGAUCCAAGCAAACCAACCAUUAACUGAGUUUGUUUGGAUAAGAGUUUAUUUGGAUGAUUUAUUUGAGAUAUUUACUGUAGCACUUUUUGUGAUGUGAUGUAUGUGAGAUAAAAAGGUGAUUGGGAAGAUAAAAAGGUGAUUGGGAUUUGUGAGAAUAAAUUUUGCAAACUAAAUUAUAUUUGUCCAAACAAACUCAACUGUGUUUUAUAUAGGACAGCGUUAAUGGCGUUCCAAAAUUUAUUAUUCACACAAUCACACUCCUCUUUUGGGUUCCUUCUAUUGGAACUAGGAGCAUUUUUUUUUUUUUAAAUUUCUAAAUGGUCAGGGGGCCUUUUACCUUGGAAAAUCAUACAACUAUCUCAUGGGAAGUCAAGGGCCCUUUACUUUGAAAAAUCAUACAACUACCUUAUGGGAAGUUAGCUGCAUCCACAAAUGAUAUAAAUAUGACUGCUGCUUUAGCAUUACUAACGCAUAAUAAAAAGGAUUAAGUUAUUUCGGGAAAUAUAUUUAACCAACCCCAACCCUUUUUUUCACCUAUAGAAUGGUAAGUUUUAAAGAGCAACAAAAAAGAAAGCAUAAUUUAGAAACCUCCUCUAAGGUUUUUGGCAUUUAUGGCUCCCUCCCUUGAAAUUUGAAAAAUUACACUUACACCUCUCUUGAUGUUAUGAAAAGACUAUGAUAACCUUCACAAACUUUACAAAAUUUGAGUGAAAAAUGAGUUUGAAAGAGAAAACAAAAAUCCUUUUUUGGUAAUGUUUCUUUAUCCUAAAACUCUAAUGUCAUCUUAUCUCGUACAUUAUACUUCAUUCCCAAUUCUUCUGACUAGAUUUCUUAAUCAAUUUAUAAAAAGGCAACCAACCAAUUAGGAAUGCAUUUAUUAAAAUAAGUAUCGUCAAAAAUUACUUAAGCGAAAAAAAUGUCCAAAAUACCGGAAAAAGGAUGCUUUCAAAACAUGACUUAAAUUUUUCUGUGAAAAACUAACUUGAAAUUUUCACUUAACGCAUAAUAGUGAUAGUUGAUUUUUUUAGCAUUUAAUUUAUUUUAUACAUCACAGAGAGGUUAUAUGGAAUAUUCAUUGAAAUUUUUUUUUAUGCUUACAUCACCAAUUUGUUACCAAGACAUGCUUUCUAGAAGAGGUUUCUUGUAAUUUUCCAAACCUCAACAGAGGUGGCUAUAAUUGUCCGAACUCGAAGUGUUGUGAGAAUGACAAAUUUUAGAGUAUGAUUAACAUUUUCCUGUAUACAUAAUAUAUUAUUACUAUUCAAGAAUCCACAUUUGCUGCUUUAAUUAUGUUACUGCUAGAACUGUUAAUCGAGCUGAGUCGAGCUCGAGCACAUGAUAAUUGAGUUCAACUCGAACCUCCAAUCGAGUUAGCUCGAAUUCGCUCGAUUAGCAAUUCGAGUUUCAAAAGCCGUUCGAGAUUGACUUGUCAAACUCGGCUGAAAACUCGAACUCGAGCUCAAAAUCGAACCGAGCUUAACGAACUGAGUCGAACCCUAAUCGAGAAAAGGAAAGAGGGUAAAACUAUUAGAUACAAAAUGAAAUUACAAUAAUGCCCCUACUAUUCGAGCCUAUCAAGCUGUUAACGAGCCGAGUUAAAACUAUUAGAUACAAAAUGAAAUUACAAUAAUACCCCUACUAUUCGAGCCUAUCAAGCUGUUAACGAGUCGAGCAUAGCUCGGCUCGUUUAAUAGACGAGUAUAUAUACAACUUGAGCUCGGCUCUUUUUUCUUAGUAAAUGAGCCAAGUCGAGCUCUUAUCGAGCUGGGUCAAGCUCAACUCGCGAGCUACCCGAUUCAAUUAAGAGCUCUAGUUACUGCAUGCAAUAUUAACGAGUGACAAACUUUGUUGUCUCUAUAUCUUGUUAUUUCAAAAUCAUUUUUUGUUGCGUCAAGAUCUACAUUUGAUUUUUUGUUAUUUCAAAAUCUACAUUUGGUUUUUAUGCAAGAACGCCCAGUGCCUAGUAAAGGACAUAUUUUUGGGAAAAUGGCGAGGUCCGAGAAGAGAACAACCUUUUUACAUCCAGGGCAUCUUCACAUAAACGAAGGCAUUGAGCCCUAUUCCUUAGUUUCGAGAACUAUUUCAGCACAAACUGGGAAAAAUACCAGUAUUUAGCAUGAAAAUCUGCCUCGGAUAUCAUUUGAUGCUGAAGCAUCUGAUUCCCAACCUCCCCAUUGCAAGUGCAACGAAUCACAAGUGAAACUGGUGACAUAUGUUUAUACAUCCAUGUCGAGGUGCAAAUAGUUCACUGGAGACUCGACAAUCUAAGUACAAGAGGCACUCAGAUUAAAGAUUUAAAAUGACAAAUAUUACUCUCUCAACUUGGACAAUAAUAUUCUAGAUCUAUUCAAAUUUACAACAACCAGACUGGAAAACCAGGGCAGAGUAGGCAUAAGAUUGAAAUGCUACCAGGUAACAUGGCAGGAAAACCAAGCGGAAGGAUGGGGCAUAAGAAUCCAAGGCUGCAGACAUGCUAAUCAUCG